UACGAAGGGGGCUAGCGUUGUUCGGAAUUACUGGGCGUAAAGCGCACGUAGGCGGACAUUUAAGUCAGGGGUGAAAUCCCGGGGCUCAACCCCGGAACGGCCUUUGAUACUGGGUGUCUUGAGUUCGGAAGAGGUGAGUGGAAUUGCGAGUGUAGAGGUGAAAUUCGUAGAUAUUGGGAAGAACACCAGUGGCGAAGGCGGCUAACUGGUCCAGCACUGACGCUGAGACGCGAAAGCGUGGGGAGCAAACAGG
rnacentral:rRNA from 1 species